rnacentral:lncRNA from 1 species
UGAAGCCUUAAAAUCCAUCAAUUUUUUCCUUUGGCCGACUUUAGGAAACCCUAAAACCCCUCUCUACGCCAUCGUUACCAAACGAUCCAAAUGAUUCGAAUCCCGGCGCCGAAAUCGGCUUGGGCUUAGGCGAAACAGUCGCAGAUCCCGACGGCGUAUCCUUGAAGGUAAUAUUUUCCCUUUUUACUCCUUUACAACAAAACGAAAUAGAAAUCAAAGAAAAGAAAAAAAAACAAAACUCGAUUCACCUUCAAAAGACUUUGUAUUCUGUAUGUUUUUCAACUUUUGCGUCCCUCCUUUUAUUUUUUUUUCCGUCUCCUUUUACAGAUUUUGAUAGGCCUUUUAUAGGCCGAAAGAAAAAAAUAAAUUAAAUCUAAAUUGUUCUCUUUGUUGUUAUUUCUUUCAGGACUCUUUGAAUUUGUUUUGCAGGUGUGUGUGGAGAGUUUGGCGCGCGUGGAGGCCGAAACGUGCGGCGAUCGGGCGUUGGGCGCGGCGUGGGUGCUGUUGCGGCGCUGAGGCAGAUGCGGCUAGGGUUUUGUUUUUGUGUUUUGCUGUGUUGAUCUUUGGGUUUGGGCUGCUUUGUUGGGCUUGUAAAAUGUAGGCCUGUUCAUUUUUUGUUUUGGCUUAUUACGUGGGCCCAGGCCGAUUGGGCCUUAUUACAUAACCAUUUUAAUAAAAACAAUUCUAUGCCGACCAAUAUUAGGAUUAUUUGAUUUCUCCUAGUAACUUAAAGGGGGGCAAGAAGCUAGAAGGUAGAAGGGGAGGAAUGAAUAAGGUGGUAUUGGGUAAGAUGGGUCCGAUAGCUUAAAGUUGUAAACCUAUUACCCAUUAACUUGAAGCUUCUAGGUUUGAAAAACUUUGUUAUUUUAGACCCACCUGAAAACCUAAUGGUUGGGAAGAGUAUCUCUACUCUAUGUUAUACCUAUGAAUUUUUGGCCCAUAACAUUUUAUUACUUCAUCAAUCAAAAAUCUCUUUCCACCUUCUUCCCUUGUUAUUUGUUCUCAUAUUUUGUUGGACAUAAAUAUAAUUCAAAACCACCUACGAUAAUUAUAAAUGAUAACUUCAAUAAAUAUUUUUAUUUAUAUGGACGAUAAUUAAAAUUCUUAUUAGAUAUUAGUGUGACACGAGUUUGAA